GCAGGACCGCACCCCGCACGCGCCCUAAAAUAUCCCGAAGCCGAAAUCCCCCAAUUCCCCUCUCUCUCUCCCUCUCCCCAUCGCCCCCCUCCCGCACCCGAGCGCGAGAGAAUCCGAGGAGAGGAGCGGCGCAAGGAGGCGGUGAUGGAGUCGGAUCAGGGCAAGCUCUUCAUCGGCGGCAUCUCCUGGGAGACGACGGAGGAGAAGCUGCAGGAGCACUUCUCCAACUUCGGCGAGGUCUCCCAGGCCGCCGUCAUGCGCGACAAGCUCACUGGCCGCCCGCGGGGCUUCGGCUUCGUAGUCUACGCCGACCCCGCCGCCGUCGACGCCGCCCUCCAGGAGCCCCACACCCUCGACGGCCGCACGGUCGAUGUGAAGCGGGCGCUCUCGCGGGAGGAGCAGCAGGCUACCAAGGCGGUGAACCCUAGCGCAGGAAGGAACGCUGGAGGUGGUGGCGGCGGCGGCGGCGGCGGCGGCGAUGCCGGUGGUGCUAGGACAAAGAAGAUUUUUGUGGGCGGACUGCCCUCCAGUCUGACAGAUGAGGAGUUCCGGCAGUACUUCCAGACCUUCGGGGCUGUCACCGAUGUUGUGGUGAUGUAUGACCAGACAACACAGCGUCCCCGGGGCUUCGGCUUCAUUACCUUUGACUCGGAGGAUGCGGUUGACCGUGUGCUGCACAAAACCUUCCACGAUCUUGGAGGGAAGAUGGUAGAGGUGAAGCGUGCUCUGCCCCGAGAGGCGAAUCCUGGCUCUGGCGGCGGCGGCCGUUCCAUGGGAGGUGGGGGUUUUCAUAGUAACAAUGGACCCAACUCCAAUGCUAGCAGCUAUGAUGGCAGAGGCGAUGCUAGCAGAUAUGGGCAGGCGCAGCAAGGCAGUGGUGGCUACCCAGGUUAUGGUGCUGGAGCUUAUGGCAGUGCUCCAACUGGGUAUGGAUAUGGGCACACCAAUCCUGGAACUACAUAUGGAAAUUAUGGGUCUGCAGGGUAUGGAGCUGUUCCUGCUGCGUAUGCUGGGGCUUAUGGCAAUCCAAGUGCUGCUGCUUCCGGUUACCAGGGUGGCCCUCCAGGCGCUAAUAGAGGACCCUGGGGCAGUCAAGCUCCGUCUGGUUAUGGCACUGGGGGUUAUGCUGGCAAUGCAGGCUAUGGUGCAUGGAAUAGCUCUUCUGCUGGUGGGAAUGCACCCACUAGUCAGGCACCUGGUGCAGCUGCAGGUUAUGGAAACCAGGGCUAUGGUUAUGGUGGAUAUGGAGGAGAUGCAUCAUAUGGUAAUCAUGGAGGGUAUGGUGCUUAUGGUGGCCGGGGAGAUGGUGCUGGAAAUCCUGCUACUGGUGCAGCCUCUGGGUAUGGUGCUGCUGGAUAUGGAAGUGGGAAUGGAAACUCUGGAUAUCCAAAUGCGUGGACUGAUCCUUCACAAGGCGGGGGAUUUGGUGGUGCAGUCAAUGGAGCUUCUGAGGGCCAAUCAAAUUAUGGCAGUGGUUAUGGUGGUAUGCAGCCUAGGGUUGCUCAGUAGAAGAGGCUGUUAUAAUGUUCAUGGUGUGAACCAGUGCAUUUGGGCAGCAUAUGUAUUAUUGCGGUAUUCUGGCUUUGCUCUCGUCUUCCUGAAGGCCAUCCAUUCUGCCGGUUAAAUCAGUAUUUCUCCUGGUUGCAUGUGACGCCAUUCCGUGUAAAGCAUGUCCAAGUGAGGGUGAAAAUGAUAUUGGAAAUCUGCUGAUUUUGCUUGAUGAGCUGAUGAGAAGUUGCGAUUUGAAGCAUUGGCACAGAAUGCAAGCUACUUGCUUUUUAUGUGCUUCAUGUUCUUGAGGAUCUUGCUGUGCUGCAAGGUGGUGGUGCAUUGACCCAAAAGUACAUUAAGCUGGAGACGUGAAGUUUUCACUUGUCACAUAUAUAAAGUAACACGAGACUUUGGAGAUCGCUGCUUGACCCCAGACGAGCUCUAUCCAGAACAAACAACAAUUCUCUCAUGGAUCGACUGAAAUAUGAGUCUGAUUUACUGUCAAAGAUGGAAGGUUGCGUGACUUGAUGGUAUUAUUAUGCUAGUAUAUCUGUGAUGUCAUUUGGAAAGCUGUGCUGUCAUUUUAUCUCCAAUGUAUUUUGGACACUUCGCAAUAGUCUAAGCCAACUAUUGCAGUGAUUCUUUCCUCAAAAAAAAAAAAACUACUGCAGUGAUUCAGCUGAAAAAUUCAAGUUUUAAGUUUGAAAA